UAGGGAAUCUUCUGCAAUGGACGAAAGUCUGACCGAGCAACGCCGCGGGAGUGAAGAAGGUGUUCGGAUCGUAAAACUCUGUUGUUAGAGAAGAACAAGGACGGUAGUAACUGAACGUCCCCUGACGGUAUCUAACCAGAAAGCCACGGCUAACUACGUGCUAGCAGCCGCGGUAAUACGUAGGUGGCAAGCGUUGUCCGGAUUUAUUGGGCGUAAAGCGAGCGCAGGCGGUUUCUUAAGUCUGAUGUGAAAGCCCCCGGCUCAACCGGGGAGGGUCAUUGGAAACUGGGAGACUUGAGGGCAGAAGAGGAGAGUGGAAUUCCAUGUGUAGCGGUGAAAUGCGUAGAUAUAUGGAGGAACACCAGUGGCGAAGGCGGCGCUCUGGUCUGUAACUGACGCUGAGGCGCGAAAGCGUGGGGAGCAAACAGG
rnacentral:rRNA from 1 species